rnacentral:rRNA from 1 species
GAUGAACGCUAGUCGGGAGGCCUUAACGACGAUGCAAGCCGAGGGUAUAUAUUUGCUUGCAAAGUAUAGAGACCGGCGGAUGGGUGAGUAACGCGUAUGAAACUUUCCCUAUUCAUCAGGAUAGCCCUAGGAAACUGGGAUUAAUACUGAAUAACACAAUUAACGGCAUCGUUUAUUGUUAAAAGAUUCAUUGGAAUAGGAUAGUCAUGCGUCAGAUUAGCUAGUUGGUAGAGUAGUAGCCUACCAAGGCGAUGAUCUGUAGGGGACCUGAGAGGGUGAUCCCCCACACUGGUACUGGGACACGGACCAG